UACGGAGGGAGCUAGCGUUGUUCGGAAUUACUGGGCGUAAAGCGCGCGUAGGCGGCUUUGUAAGUUAGAGGUGAAAGCCCGGAGCUCAACUCCGGAACUGCCUUUAAAACUGCAUCGCUUGAAUCCAGGAGAGGUGAGUGGAAUUCCGAGUGUAGAGGUGAAAUUCGUAGAUAUUGGGAAGAACACCGGUGGCGAAGGCGGCGAGCUGGCCUGUACCUGACGCUGAGGCGCGACAGCGUGGGGAGCAAACAGG
rnacentral:rRNA from 1 species